rnacentral:tRNA from 1 species
GAUUCUGUAGCUCAGCAGGUAGAGCAUCUGCCUUUUAAGCAGAGGGUCCCGAGUUCGAGCCUCGGCAGGAUCA